rnacentral:rRNA from 1 species
UGAUACGUAGCCGACCUGAGAGGGUAAUCGGCCACAUUGGGACUGAGACACGGCCCAAACUCAUACGGGAGGCAGCAGUAGGGAAUCUUCCACAAUGGACGAAAGUCUGAUGGAGCAACGCCGCGUGAGUGAAGAAGGGUUUCGGCUCGUAAAACUCUGUUGUUAAAGAAGAACAUAUCUGAGAGUAACUGUUCAGGUAUUGACGGUAUUUAACCAGAAAGCCACGGCUAACUACGUGCCAGCAGCCGCGGUAAUACGUAGGUGGCAAGCGUUGUCCGGAUUUAUUGGGCGUAAAGCGAGCGCAGGCGGUUUUUUAAGUCUGAUGUGAAAGCCUUCGGCUCAACCGAAGAAGUGCAUCGGAAACUGGAAAACUUGAGU